UACGAAGGGGGCUAGCGUUGCUCGGAAUUACUGGGCGUAAAGGGCGCGUAGGCGGAUGUUUAAGUCGGGGGUGAAAGCCCGGGGCUCAACCUCGGAAUUGCCUUCGAUACUGGACAUCUUGAGUACGGGAGAGGUGAGUGGAACUCCGGGUGUAGAGGUGAAAUUCGUAGAUAUUCGGAAGAACACCAGUGGCGAAGGCGACUCACUGGCCCGGUACUGACGCUCAGGCGCGAAAGCGUGGGGAGCAAACAGG
rnacentral:rRNA from 1 species